AUGCCAGAUACAGCAUCCUCCAAACCAAGCUUCACCUUAACAGCCCUUACUUUAAACUGGUUGCACUGUUUACUUGCUCAAUGACGAUGGUCUUGGAGCCAUUUUCAGCCUUAGAAGACGGAGGCGGUGCUUCAGUGAUUUUAGCUUUUGAUUCCGGCUUCUUCUUGGGGGUAACUUUAGCCUUUUUGGUCUUCGGCUCAGCCACCAGCUUUAAAGACUGCUGAGUGGCUUGGCGCGUCGAGCUGCGGGUGACUCUGGUUGUUGUG
rnacentral:lncRNA from 1 species